AGUGAACGCUGGCGGCGUGCUUAACACAUGCAAGUCGAACGGACGAAAUAAGCUUGCUUAUUUCGUUAGUGGCGCACGGGUGAGUAAUGUAUAGCUAACCUGCCCUUUAGUGGGGGACAACAGUUGGAAACGACUGCUAAUACCACAUACUCCUUCUUAUCAUAAGGUAAGUCGGGAAAGAUUUAUUGCUAAAGGAUGGGGCUUUAUUGUAUCAGCUUGUGGGUGGGGUAAUGGCCUACCAAGGCGAUGACGCAUACCUGGUCUGAGAGGAUGAUCAGGCACACUGGAACUGAGACACGGUCCAGACUCCUACGGGAGGCAGCAGUGGGGAAUAUUGCACAAUGGGGGAAACCCUGAUGCAGCAACGCCGCGUGGAGGAUGACGCAUUUCGGUGUGUAAACUCCUUUUAUAAGGGAAGAUAAUGACGGUACCUUAUGAAUAAGCACCGGCUAACUCCGUGCCAGCAGCCGCAGUAAAAC
rnacentral:rRNA from 1 species